GAUGAACGCUGACAGAAUGCUUAACACAUGCAAGUCAACUUGAACUUCGGUUUGGGUGGCGGACGGGUGAGUAACGCGUAAAGAACUUGCCUCACAGAUAGGGACAACAUUUGGAAACGAAUGCUAAUACCUGAUAUUAUGAUUUUAGGGCAUCCUAGGAUUAUGAAAGCUAUAUGCGCUGUGAGAGAGCUUUGCGUCCCAUUAGCUAGUUGGAGAGGUAACGGCUCACCAAGGCGAUGAUGGGUAGCCGGCCUGAGAGGGUGAUCGGCCACAAGGGGACUGAGACACGGCCCGUACUCCUACGGGAGGCAGCAGUGGGGAAUAUUGGACAAUGGACCAAGAGUCUGAUCCAGCAAUUCUGUGUGCACGAUGAAGUUUUUCGGAAUGUAAAGUGCUUUCAGUUGGGAAGAAAAAAAUGACGGUACCAACAGAAGAAGUGACGGCUAAAUACGUG
rnacentral:rRNA from 1 species